AUUGAACGCUGGCGGCAUGCUUUACACAUGCAAGCCGAACGGCAGCGCGGGGCAACCUGGCGGCGAGUGGCGAACGGGUGAGUAAUAUAUCGGAACGUACCCAGAAGUGGGGGAUAACGUAGCGAAAGUUACGCUAAUACCGCAUACGAUCUACGGAUGAAAGUGGGGGACCUUCGGGCCGCACGCUUGUGGAGCGGCCGAUAUCUGAUUAGCUAGUGGGUGAGGUAAAGGCGCACCAAGGCAACGAUCAGUAGCUGGUCGGAGAGGACGACCAGCCACACUGGGACUGAGACACGGCCCAGACUCCUACGGGAGGCAGCAGUGGGGAAUUUUGGACAAUGGGCGCAAGCCUGAUCCAGCAAUGCCGCGUGAGUGAAGAAGGCCUUCGGGUUGUAAAGCUCUUUUGUCAGGGAAGAAACGGCUCGGGCUAAUAUCCUGGGCUAAUGACGGUACCUGAAGAAUAAGCACCGGCUAACUACGUGCCAGCCGCCGCAGUAA
rnacentral:rRNA from 1 species